rnacentral:rRNA from 1 species
AACGAACGCUGGCGGCAUGCCUAACACAUGCAAGUCGAACGAGACCUUCGGGUCUAGUGGCGCACGGGUGCGUAACGCGUGAGAACCUGCGCUUAGGGUGGGAAUAACUCCCCGAAAGGGGUGCUAAUACCGGAUAAUGUCUUCGGACCAAAGAUUUAUCGCCUUUGGAUGGGCCCGCGUUGGAUUAGCUAGUUGGUAGGGUAAAAGCCUACCAAGGCGACGAUCCAUAGCUGGUCUGAGAGGAUGAUCAGCGACAAUGGGACUGAGACACGGCGCAGACUCCUACGGGAGGCAGCAGUGGGGAAUAUUGGACAAUGGGCGAAAGCCUGAUACAGCAAUGCCGGGUGAGUGAUGAAGGCUUUAGGGUUGUAAAGCUCUUUUACCCGGGAUGAUAAUGACAGUACCGGGAGAAUAAGCGCCGGCUAACUCCGUG